GAUGAACGCUGGCGGCGUGCCUAAUACAUGCAAGUCGAGCGAACAGAUGAGGAGCUUGCUCCUCUGACGUUAGCGGCGGACGGGUGAGUAACACGUGGAUAACCUACCUAUAAGACUGGGAUAACUUCGGGAAACCGGAGCUAAUACCGGAUAAUAUAUUGAACCGCAUGGUUCAAUAGUGAAAGACGGUUUUGCUGUCACUUAUAGAUGGAUCCGCGCCGCAUUAGCUAGUUGGUAAGGUAACGGCUUACCAAGGCGACGAUGCGUAGCCGACCUGAGAGGGGUAACGGCCACACUGGAACUGAGACACGGUCCAGACUCCUACGGGAGGCAACAGGAGGGAAUCUUCCGGAAUGGGCGGAAGCCUGACGGAGCAACGCCGCGUGAGUGAUGAAGGUCUUCGGAUCGUAAAACUCUGUUAUUAGGGAAGAACAAAUGUGUAAGUAACUAUGCACGUCUUGACGGUACCUAAUCAGAAAGCCACGGCUAACUACGUG
rnacentral:rRNA from 1 species